GUCCCAGUAGCGCAAUGAUUAGCGCGUUGGACUUCUAAUGCAAAAGUCGUGGGUUCAAAUCCACCUGAGAUG